ACUUACUUACCAAGGAAACUUUAUAUACACUGCACAAUGCAUAAAUAGAUAAAAUAAAAUAAAUAUAUGAUUAACAUUCUCUAUACCAGCAAAUCUAAAUAUGUUUGAAUUCCUGGAGAUCUAAAAUUGGUCUUCAUUCUUGUUUGCAAGCUAAGAAGAAAAUUAAGUACUUAGACAAGUUGGGAAAUCAGCCGGAAAACAUUUGAUUUUGUGAUCAGCUUGCAUUCUUGUCAGACAACUUGAAUGGAAGCUUAAUCCUCCUGCAAAUUCCUCCUUAUUUCCGAAGUUGAAUCCGUCUGUUAAAGUGGUGAUGUUCCCAUCUUUUCACCAUGCUAAAUUCCCACUGUUAACUACCAUAUCGUUCCUAACUUGGCCUUUACUCAUGCUCCAUCUCUUUGCAUUAGACCUUUCUCCUUAUCUAUAUCCUACCAUCAAAUUAUUCUGCACAGCCAGGUUCCUACUGUUAAUUCCUUUGGAAUUCUCGAUUUUUAGAUUUUAAUUUUACUGUUCUAACUUUCCUACCUUUCUGCAUUUGCAAUCAAAGAAUCUGAACCAUUUCUUAGAUUUCAUAGGUAUCCCUACUUCGCUUCCAAUCUUUGAAUGCUCCAGUUUCAAUUAUCAAAAAUAAUGGCCUCGACAAUAAUAACUCAUUCCUUCCACUUCUGUAAACUGAUGUUAUGCAUGAAAAUGAUAUUGACAUCAGGAAUGGAAUCAGUCGAAAGAUUCCAGCAGAAAGACGGAGGAGAGCAAGUGCAUUGAAAUAGAGAGGCAAGCGAUGCUCGAGAUUAAAUGAGGUCUUGUAGACACAUACGGUGUACUUUCUACAGGGGAAGCAAGCAAGAUUGCUGCCAGUCGAGACACAACCUUCAAAGUAAGUGCACAACCUCAUCGGUCAUGUUACUCACCUUCAACUUUCAGCUGUUCAUUAUCCUUCUUCUGUUACUGUUAACUAUUUUUUUUUUUUUUGCUAAAUGACUAUUUUUCUUUUUAAGGAUACCAUGCAAUUUAAGUGCUUCAUUGUUUAUUUAAAGAAUCUAAAGUACCUGGACCUUUGUUCGAAUGUCUUUGGAGGACAGUCCAUUCCGAGUUUCAUAGGUAGAGUGAAAUUCAGUUUACCUUUAUCUUUCACUUGCUUAUUGUGGAGUAGCAAUUCCACCUCAGCUUGGAACUCUCUCCAAGUUAAAUCAUCUGGAUCUCAUUAUUUCCAUUCAAUUCUGGAUACGCUUGGGAAUCUCUCUAGCUUAAAUGCUUAAUGCAUCUAGAUCUUAGCUCUGGUACUUCAUAUGAGUCCACAUUUCCUAUUCCAAACUUCAUCAUAUCUCUCACCAGCUUAACAUACCUUAAUCUUUCCAACAACUAGUUUCCAGGAACAAUUCCAAAUCAGCUUGCUAAUCUCUCCUGGCUGAAUCAUUUAGGUCUCAGCUAUUAUUCUUUUGAUUCAAGUCCUGCACCAAAAUUUAUUGCAUCGUUCAUCAGCUUAAGAUACCUUGAUCUUUCAAGAAGCCAUUUUACAGGAGAAAUCAAAUCAGCUUGGUUAUUUUUUAAAAUUGGAGCAUCUUGAUCUUGGAUACAAUGGUGUUCUAGAAGGUAGCAUAUUUGGUUGGUUGUCUAAAUUAUCAUCUUUGACAGAAGUUGAUUUGAGUGGUAUCAACUGCCAAUGACUCGGUAACCUAAUUCAGAGGCUUUGGCUGCUGUCAAUUCUAUAACUAAAUAGGUGUAAGCUAACAAACAGCAUGUCUACAUCUUUCCAACUCAUAUGUCUUCCUCUAUUUCUACCCUUUAUCUUUCUGAAUAUCAGCUUCAUGGCGUGGUUCCAAAUUCUUUUAGAAAGCUACCCAGAUUGAAUAUAUAGAUUUCAGUUCUAACAGUCACACCAGAAAUCUUCAUAAUCUUCUUAGUGUGUUUUCUGAGGAUAACUUACAAAUGCUAUUGAUAUAUGAUAACCAGAAUACCAGAUUACUGGGUGUGUGUCUGAUAUCACAUGGGAAAACUUUCUAUACCUAGGAAACUUGGAUGUCCAUCAUAAUAACUUGAAUACAUAUCUUCUAAAACGUUUAUUGCACAAUUGAGCUCUAUACUCCUUGGAUUUAUUGCACAAUUGAGCUCUAUACUCCUUGGAUUUGUCAUAUAACUUUCUCACAGGCUAUUUACCUAAUUUUACGGGGGUUUUAUCCUUCGUUCAGUUAUAUUAAUGAUAACAAUUUUUUUUGGAGGUCUUCCUGAUUUUACAGGAGGUCUAUCUUUGUGUAGCUUGCUACUUAAAGGGAAUCAACUUACUGAAUGGGAAACUCAAUCAAUAGGACAACUCACCAAUCUUAACCUGCUGGAUAUAUAUCAACAAAUUCAAUACAAAGCACUAUCCUGAAAUUCAUUGGUCCAACCUAUCCAAUUAAGUGGAGAUAAAUGCAUUAUAUAACUCUUUGACAUUUGAAAUAAGCUCAAAUGGUUUUUCCCUUUCCAACCUCGUAAACUUUCUUUGGCAUCUUGCAAGCUGGGGCCUAAAUUUCUUGAUUGGUUUGAAAUCGAAGAACUUUUACAGUCUUGAUUUCUCAGACAGCCAAAUUUCAGAUACCAUCCCCCUGUGGUUCUAGAACUUCUCAAGCACUAUAGAAAUGUUGAAUUUUUGCCAGCAAAAUAAGGUGCAAAUUUGCCUCUGUAAAAUUCCAUUUCAAGGACCACCUUUUUCUUAGCUGUAGUUGAAGACAUGUCUUUGAGCUUUCUUGAUCUCGUGCACAAACUCAUUGUCUGGUUCGCUUCCUGAUGCAUGGGCUAUCAGGAAAGGUACCUGCAUGGAUCUAAUACAUCUAUAUGCUCUGAUUCUAAGAUUCCAUGGAAGCAUGCCUUAUCAGCUAUGCCAUCUACCAGAUCUUUAUUGUAUAAACCUUUCAAUAAAGCAUAUUUCGGGCAUUCUUCCUCCAUGCUUUGGUGACCGUACAACUUUGACGAAAAAGGGAACUAAUAUCACCAUGCAUUUCUACAAAUCUACAAUUCUACAAAUGCAUUAGCUAUUUAGCUCCAACAGCAUCAUUUGCUGAUACUUCAUCGGCUGCUUGGAAAGGUCAGGAGUUUGAGUAUGGGCGAAACUUUGUUUAUCAGAAGAUGAUAAAUCUUUCAUCCAGUCAUAUAACAGGGGUAAUUCCCAUCGAGAUAACAAGAAUUAUAAAUGUCAGGAUAUAAUAUAUUCCAGAAAUAAAUUUUUUGGAAUAGUUCCACUAUAUUGGCAGAUUGAAAAUGUUAGAAAGCCUUGAUUUGUCUAGAAAUAAAUUUUCAUGCAAAAUUUCUCGAAGUAUGUCUGGAUUACAUUUUCUUGGUCAUCUAGAUCUCUCAAACUCCUUUUCGGGGAGAAUUCUAUCAGGAACUUGGCUGCAAGGAUUUAACUCUUCCGCAUAUGGGAACAUAGGACUUUGUGGCCCUCCAUCACUAAAAGAUGUCCCGGAGAUGAGGCAGCUAGCUGAUGAAGAUCAGCCUACGUUUUGAUGUCCUGGAGAUGGGGCAGCUAUCUAGCUGAUUCUCCUUGUAUAUCUUAUAAUUUUAUUGAUUAACUGAAUUAUUUCUCAAAAAUAUGUAAAAUGAUUGUUUUCCAAACUUGAAAUUUUAUUUCAUAGAAGUUUUGAAUAUU